GACGAACGCUGGCGGCGUGCCUAAUACAUGCAAGUCGAACGCACUCUCGUUUAGAUUGAAGGAGCUUGCUCCUGAUUGAUAAACAUUUGAGUGAGUGGCGGACGGGUGAGUAACACGUGGGUAACCUGCCCUAAAGUGGGGGAUAACAUUUGGAAACAGAUGCUAAUACCGCAUAAAACCUAAACACCGCAUGGUGUAGGGUUGAAAGAUGGUUUCGGCUAUCACUUUAGGAUGGACCCGCGGUGCAUUAGUUAGUUGGUGAGGUAAAGGCUCACCAAGACCGUGAUGCAUAGCCGACCUGAGAGGGUAAUCGGCCACACUGGGACUGAGACACGGCCCAGACUCCUACGGGAGGCAGCAGUAGGGAAUCUUCCACAAUGGACGAAAGUCUGAUGGAGCAACGCCGCGUGAGUGAAGAAGGUUUCGGAUCGUAAAACUCUGUUGUUGGGAGAAGGAAAUGUAUCUGAUAGUAACUGAUCAGGUAGUGACGGUAUCCAA
rnacentral:rRNA from 1 species